CAGCAGCCGCGGGAAAACAGAGGGUGCGAGCGUUAAUCGGAUUUACUGGGCGUAAAGCGUGCGUAGGCGGCUUCUUAAGUCGGAUGUGAAAUCCCUGAGCUUAACUUAGGAAUUGCAUUCGAUACUGGGAAGCUAGAGUAUGGGAGAGGAUGGUAGAAUUCCAGGUGUAGCGGUGAAAUGCGUAGAGAUCUGGAGGAAUACCGAUGGCGAAGGCAGCCAUCUGGCCUAAUACUGACGCUGAGGUACGAAAGCAUGGGGAGCAAACAGGAUUAGAUACCCGUGUAGUCCCUGUCUCUUAUAA
rnacentral:rRNA from 1 species